GAUGAACGCUAGCUACAGGCUUAACACAUGCAAGUCGAGGGGUAACGAGAGGAAAGCUUGCUUUCCUUGUCGACGACCGGCGCACGGGUGAGUAACGCGUAUCCAACCUGCCCCCAACUAAGGAAUAACCUUGCGAAAGUAAGACUAAUACCUUAUAAUUUCCUCAGAUGUCAUCUGACGAGGAAUAAAGAUUUAUCGGUUGUGGAUGGGGAUGCGUCUGAUUAGCUUGUUGGCGGGGUAACGGCCCACCAAGGCAACGAUCAGUAGGGGUUCUGAGAGGAAGGUCCCCCACAUUGGAACUGGGACACGGUCCAAACUCCUACGGGAGGCAGCAGUGAGUAAUAUUGGUCAAUGGGCGGAAGCCUGAACCAGCCAAGUAGCGUGCAGGAUGACGGCCCUAUGGGUUGUAAACUGCUUUUAUACAGGAAUAAAGUUAGCCACGUGUGGUUAUUUGUAGGUACUGUAUGAAUAAGGACCGGCUAAUUCCGUGCCAGCCGCCGCAGUAA
rnacentral:rRNA from 1 species